rnacentral:rRNA from 1 species
GACGAACGCUGGCGGCGUGCUUAACACAUGCAAGUCGAACGGAAAGGCCCUGCUUGCAGGGUACUCGAGUGGCGAACGGGUGAGUAACACGUGGGUGAUCUGCCCUGCACUUCGGGAUAAGCCUGGGCAACUGGGUCUAAUACCGGAUAGGAGCCACUUUUAGUGUGAUGGUUGGAAAGUUUUUUCGGUGUAGGAUGAGCUCGCGGCCUAUCAGCUUGUUGGUGGGGUAAUGGCCUACCAAGGCGGCGACGGGUAGCCGGCCUGAGAGGGUGGGCGGCCACAUUGGGACUGAGAUGCGGCCCAGACGCCUACGGGAGGCAGCAGUGGGGAAGAUUGCACAAUGGGCGCAAGCCUGAUGCAGCGACGCCGCGUGGGGGAUGACGGCCUUCGGGUUGAAAACUCCUUUCGCUAGGGACGAAGCUUUUUGUGACGGUACCUAGAGAAGAAGCACCGGCUAACUACGUG